UGUAGUGUUUUAAUUCAAGAUGCUUAUUUAAGUGCUGCGUGACGUGUUUAUAACGGGCGUGCGCUGCUGCGCGCUGAGUUGCCAUGGAAACGGGCCAGCAACACCAACUGACAAGUUUAAGAACUCCGUCUUUCACUGUUAUUUUCACUGCUUUCAGAAAUGGUUCCGGAGUCUUCGAAAAAGUCUGUUAGCAUCUCAACCGUUUUCCGAAGAGAUUCUUCCAUGCUGAUGGCCGUGCAGCAGAAUUGGAGCGGAACUCAAUCAUACACUAAUGUUCAAAAGUUUGAGGAUCCUACCCAGCCCCAAUCAUUUAUCAGAAGGACUGUGAAAACGGGAACUGUUUAAACCACCAGUGGUGGUUUCCACAGGAUAGUAGUGGAUGAGAGGGGUACUGACAUUAAAGGAUUAGUUCACUUUCAAAUUAAAAUUUCCUGAUAAUUUACUCACCCCCAUGUCAUCCAAGAUCUCCAUGACCUUCUCUCU